rnacentral:lncRNA from 1 species
CGGCUUCACUCUCGUCUACCCCUUCGGAGCAGGCUGUCCCAUCAAACCACAGGAUUAACUAACGUCUCUCCCUUUCUCGUCUCUUCCUCGCUCUCUACAGGCGACGUGAUUUCUCCACCUGCGAUCGUUUGCCUCUUAAGUGAGCAGGGCACCCCGAGUAGACCACAACCAACUCCCGGCACCGGGGCACCCCACGACCUCGGACUCGAAGGCGGAGACCAAGUCGGGGAAGAGAAAACACACCGGCGCUCGCUAACUUUGGAGAGAGAGAGAGCGCCUGCUUUGCACACGAAUCAACACAGGGUCCUGCUCUGGGAAGGCGCCCCCCGCAGGCCUCCCCCCGCCCUGCGCCCGCGACAGCGGCCGGCUGCGCCGAGUCCCUCCCGAAAGCCGCUCCGGUCGGUCACGGGCCCAGGGCUCCCCUCCAGCGGGCCCGCGGCCCCGGAACCCCCGGCAGGUCGCACACACUUGGCAGCGACUCGGCUCCCGGCGCCCGCGGCCUCCACCCUUUCCCCGCCUUCGGCCGCUGCUCUUUCUAGGCAACCGGAUCGGAUGCAAAAGAAGCGAGCUGCACGCGUCACGACGAGCAGUACAGAAGGACAACGGUAACCCGACAGCGGGGACGAUGGGGACAGGCAGCAUCCUGUGCCGCCCAGAGACCUGCUUCGGUGGACUCGACCUCAUCUGCGUGGUGCUCGGCUAAAAGCGCACAACCUGAAUUUAACUUUCGGGAAAGCAUCAAACUCAGGGUGAGGGGGCGUUCUACAAAAUACCUGCCCAAGUUAGGCUUUGAAGGUCAAUGAGAUGAAACACAAAGAUGGGGGCGCUCUUCCAGACGAAAGGACUAAGGAGGCAGGACAAAUGAAUGUCAUCUGUUUUUCUUGAAAUAGAGGAUUCGCACAGUUGGCAAAACAGUAACAAGGUUUCUAGAUCAAAUAAGAGUGUUAAUCCAGAUUUCAUAACUGUUCUGUGCUUAGGAAAGAGAACGUCCCUGGUUUUAGGAAAUACACACUGAAGUAUUUAGUGGUAAAGGGACAUCUUGUCUGAAACACACUAGAAAAAAAUUAUAUAUGUGUAAACUUAUUUCUAUAUAUCUAGCUAUUAAAAAACACAUAUCAUAAAUCAACAGCGAAUAUAGGUGAAGGAUUUAUGAAAAUUCUUUG